CCCUGAGAGGAAGCUCCUGUUCUCUCCAGCUUUGCCUGCACCCCACCUGCCAGUUUCUGUGCAGCCUCUACAACUUAAUAAAGUUCUCUUUGUUCCCUAGGUGGCCUGAGCUCAGGUAAUCAGGCGAAAAUUCUUUCUCAGUGGGCUCUUCUCCAGCAGCCUAGGACUGGUAUCAGAAAGCCAACCUUGACCCUGGGGGACCUCGGAGAGCCCGGGACCCACCACCAAGAAGGGCAGUGUACUAGUUCUUUGUGACUGCAGUAAAAAUUUUAUUUUUUAAUUUUUUUUAUUUUUGGUAGAGAUGCGGUUUCACCAUGUUAGCCAGGAUGGUCUCGAUCUCCUGACCUCGUGAUCUUCCCGCCUCGGCCUCCCAAAGUGCUGGGAUUACAGGCGUGAGCCACCGCGCCCGGCCUGACCGCAGUAGCAAAUUUAUACACACUGCAUGGCUUCAAACAACAGAAAUGUAUUCGUUACAAUUCUGGAGGCCAAAAGUCAAAAAUAAAGGUGUGGGCAGGACCCUGUUCCCUUCACAGGUGCUAGGGGAGGAUCCCUCCUGCCUCUUCCAGCUCCUGGUGGCUCCAGGCCCUCUGUGGCUUGUGGCCGCAUCACAGGAGUUCCUGCCUCCGUCUUCACAUGGCCUUCUCCCCAUGUCUGUCUCCAAUCUCCCUGUUUUUAUGUUGUAAGAGGUUGGAUUGUCGUUGAAGGUAGGACCCGCCUGAAACCUAGGAUAAUCUCAUUUUGAUAUCCUUAGUUUAAUUACAUGUGCAAAGGCCCUUUUAUCAAGUGAGGUCACAUUCACAGAUUCCAGGGCUUAGAGGGUGGAGGUAUCAUUUUGCGUGCCCCCAUCUGGACAUGCAGUGUCCUCUCCCCUGUGGGGCUGACCUACCUUCCUAGCCGUCUUCCCAGAACGUAAUGUGUCUUAAAUCCGUCAUGCUGACCUGGGGCCCUGGGUGCCCUUGGGCAGGAGCUGAUGGCACUAGUACCUUGAUAAAGUUCUUACUGGCACCAGAAGAGAAUAAAGUAACUCUCCUUCCCCUUCUCUGACUUAUGGCCAGGUGCCCAUUCCCACUGGCUUGCCGCUCCCCAGCUCCCUGCGCUUUAUAUUGUUGAGGCCUCCUCUCUCAGCUAAGAAACAGGAAGUACACAGAUGUGUAUUCUUAAAGACAGCAUUAGCCACGGGGCCCCCACCCUCAAAGGGUGGGAGCGAUAACUGCUGCUGGUUGAAACUGACAGUUACUACUGAUAAUAAAGUUAAUUGUUACCCAGUCA
rnacentral:lncRNA from 10 species